rnacentral:misc_RNA from 1 species
GAUGAAGAACGCAGCGAAAUGCGAUACGUAAUGUGAAUUGCAGAUUUCAGUGAAUCAUCGAAUCUUUGAACGCACAUUGCGCCCGCCAGUAUUCUGGCGGGCAUGCCUGUUCGAGCGUCAUUUCAACCAUCAAGCCUUUGCUUGCGUUGGGGCCCCGCGGCUGCCGCGGCCCCCUAAAUCCAGUGGCGGGCUCGUCGUCGUACCGAGCGCAGUAAACAUCCUCGCUCCGGGAACCCGACGGGUGCCGGCCGUGAAACCCCCCACAUCAAGGUUGACCUCGGAUCAGGUAGGAAUACCCGCUGAACUUAAGCAUAUCAAUAAGCGGAAGA